rnacentral:miRNA from 1 species
UGGGUUGGCCAAAAAGUUUGUUUGGGUUUGUCUGUAAAAUGUUAUGGAAAAACCUGAAUGAACUUUUUUGCCAACUCAAUAUUU